AGCAGAUAUGAUGGCUUACUGCAAAUCGGAUGUCUAUACUGUUAACUGUGGAAUGGCAUUCGGUCAAGCGGCAAUGCUUUUGUCACUUGGAACCAAGGGUUACCGCGGUGUCCAACCUAACUCUUCCACUAAACUAUAUCUGCCUAAAGUUAAUAGAUCAAGUGGUGCGGCCAUAGAUAUGUGGAUUAAGGCCAAAGAACUUGAUGCCAACACCGAGUACUAUCUCGAGCUAUUAGCUAAAGGAACUGGCAA
rnacentral:misc_RNA from 1 species